AGGCGCGUAGCUCAGUGGUUAGAGCACUUCCUUGACAUGGAAGGGGUCGGAGGUUCAACUCCUCUCGCGCCUACCA
rnacentral:tRNA from 1 species